rnacentral:rRNA from 1 species
CCCUUAGAUGUUCUGGGCUGCACGCGUGCUACACUGAUAUUGCCAAUAUGUCAUUCUUAUCCGAAAUGGAUUGGGUAAUCAAGUAAUGAAAUUUCAUGCUUGGAAUCGGUAAUUGCAAUUUUAUCGUGAACGAGGAAUUCCUAGUAAGCACUAGUCAUCAGCUAAUGUUGAUUAUGUCCCUGCCCUUUGUACACACCGCCCGUCGCUACUACUUAUUGGGUGUUCAAGUGAGAUGCUUAGACCCUUGUUGCAUGGUUCAUUAUUGUGCUCCGAAAGGAAAAAGUUUCAAGCUUGAGUGUCUAGAGGAAGUAAAAGUCGUAACA